rnacentral:misc_RNA from 1 species
AAACAUGCAGAAAUCACUAUCUUUGAUCUAACCACAAUAACUAAUGCCACUGAUCAGUUCUCUGAUGCUAACAAACUUGGUGAAGGAGGAUUUGGUAGCGUAUACAAGGGUCACCUGACAGAUGGACAAGUAAUAGCUGUCAAAAGACUUUCAGUAACUUCGGGGCAAGGGACGGAGGAGUUCAAGAAUGAAGUCACAGUAAUUGCAAGACUUCAGCACAGAAAUUUGGUGAGGCUUUUAGGAUGUUGCGUUCAACGAGGAGAGAAGAUGUUGGUUUAUGAAUAUAUGCCAAACAAAUCCUUGGACAGUUUUAUUUUUGAUAAAACAAAAGGGUCUUUGUUGGAUUGGGGAAAACGGUUUGGAAUCAUACAUGGGAUUGCACGAGGAAUGUUAUACCUUCACCAAGACUCUAGACUAAGAAUUAUU